rnacentral:rRNA from 1 species
AGUGAACGCUGGCGGUAGGCCUAACACAUGCAAGUCGAACGGCAGCACAGUAAGAGCUUGCCCUUACGGGUGGCGAGUGGCGGGUGGGUGAGACGUACAUCAGAAUCUACUUUUUCGUGGGUGAUAACGUAGGGAAACUUACGCUAAUACCGCAUACUUCCUACGGGUGAAGGCAGGGGAUAUUCGUACCUUUCCUGACUCAAUGAGACGGUGUCGGAUUAGCUAGUUGGCGAGGUAAAGGCCCACCAAGGCGACGAUCCGUAGCUGGUCUGAGAGGAUGAUCAGCCACACUGGAACUGAGACACGGUCCAGACUCCUACGGGAGGCAGCAGUGGGGAAUAUUGGACAAUGGGCGAAAGCCUGAUGCAGCCAUACCGCGUGAGUGAAGAAGGCCUUCGGGUUGUAAAGCCCUUUUGUUGGGGAAGAAAAGCAGUAGAUUAAUACCCCGAUGUUCUGACGGUACCCAAAGAAUAAGCACCGGCUAACUUCGUG